AGUGAACGCUGGCGGUAGGCCUAACACAUGCAAGUCGAACGGCAGCACAGUAAGAGCUUGCUCUUACGGGUGGCGAGUGGCGGACGGGUGAGGAAUACAUCGGAAUCUACUUUUUCGUGGGGGAUAACGUAGGGAAACUUACGCUAAUACCGCAUACGACCUACGGGUGAAAGCAGGGGAUCUUCUGACCUUGCGCGAUUGAAUGAGCCGAUGUCGGAUUAGCUAGUUGGCGGGGUAAAGGCCCACCAAGGCGACGAUCCGUAGCUGGUCUGAGAGGAUGACUAGCCCCACUGGGAAUGAGACAAGGCCCCGACUCCUACGGGAGGCAGCAGUGGGGAAUUUUUGACAAUGGGGGCAAGCCUGAUCCCGCCAUGCCGCGUGGGGGAAAAAGGCCUUCGGGUUGUAAAACCCUUUUGUUCGGAAAGAAAAGGCUCCGGCUAAUACCCCGGGUUUUUGACGGUACCCAAAGAAAAAGCACCGGCUAACUUCGUG
rnacentral:rRNA from 1 species